UACGAAGGGGGCUAGCGUUGCUCGGAAUCACUGGGCGUAAAGCGCACGUAGGCGGCUUUCUAAGUCAGGGGUGAAAUCCUGGAGCUCAACUCCAGAACUGCCUUUGAUACUGGGAGCUCGAGUCCGGAAGAGGUGAGUGGAACUCCUAGUGUAGAGGUGGAAUUCGUAGAUAUUAGGAAGAACACCAGUGGCGAAGGCGGCUUACUGGUCCGGAACUGACGCUGAGGUGCGAAAGCGUGGGGAGCAAACAGG
rnacentral:rRNA from 1 species